GAUGAACGCUGGCGGCGUGCCUAAUACAUGCAAGUCGAGCGAACAGACGAGGAGCUUGCUCCUCUGACGUUAGCGGCGGACGGGUGAGUAACACGUGGAUAACCUACCUAUAAGACUGGGAUAACUUCGGGAAACCGGAGCUAAUACCGGAUAAUAUAUUGAACCGCAUGGUUCAAUAGUGAAAGACGGUUUUGCUGUCACUUAUAGAUGGAUCCGCGCCGCAUUAGCUAGUUGGUAAGGUAACGGCUUACCAAGGCAACGAUGCGUAGCCGACCUGAGAGGGGGACUGGGCACACCGGAACUUGAACACGGGUCAAAACCCCAAGGGAGGGCGGAAUAGGGAAAUUUUCGCCAUGGGGGAAAGGCUGAAGGGGCAAAGGCCGGGGGGGGAAGGAAGUUUUCGGAAUCUAAAACCUUUUUUUUAGGGAAAAAAAAAAUGGUAAAGAACUAUGCCCGUUUUGACGGUAACCAAACAAAAAGGCCAGGGUAAACACCUU
rnacentral:rRNA from 1 species